AUGAACGCUGGCGGCGUGCCUAAUACAUGCAAGUCGAGCGAACGGACGAGAAGCUUGCUUCUCUGAUGUUAGCAGCGGACGGGUGAGUAACACGUGGAUAACCUACCUAUAAGACUGGGAUAACUUCGGGAAACCGGAGCUAUUACCGGUAAAUAUUUUGAACCCCUUGUUUCAAAAGUGAAAGACGGUCUUGCUGUCACUUAUAGAUGGAUCCGCGCUGCAUUAGCUAGUUGGUAAGGUAACGGCUUACCAAGGCAACGAUGCAUAGCCGACCUGAGAGGGUGAUCGGCCACACUGGAACUGAGACACGGUCCAGACUCCUACGGGAGGCAGCAGUAGGGAAUCUUCCGCAAUGGGCGAAAGCCUGACGGAGCAACGCCGCGUGAGUGAUGAAGGUCUUCGGAUCGUAAAACUCUGUUAUUAGGGAAGAACAUAUGUGUAAGUAACUGUGCACAUCUUGACGGUACCUAAUCAGAAAGCCACGGCUAACUACGUG
rnacentral:rRNA from 1 species